GUCAGUGUGAUGUAGUGGUUUGAGUGUUGAACUAUAACUGUGGAGACCAGGGUUCGAAUCCCUGCUCCGCCA